rnacentral:rRNA from 1 species
CCNCUGCUCUCCUGUGUGCCUGCAGUCACGAUCAGUAACAGCAANAGCCAGCUAGCGCCUAAGGCCUAAAUGGUGAUAAGGGAUAGGAUGUGGAGUUUGCUUGGACAAAUCAUGGAUGUUUGGCUUAGGAGGGCCAGCCCACCAAUUUUAAAAGAGGUUGCCGGUUAAAAUUAAGCGCCAUCCAUGCAUUCGAUGUCUGCGGUAAGUUACUUCGGCCAAUCAAAAUCAUGGGACCUAAGACCCAUUGCCGAAGACGACKACCCAGCCUAGGCUGGGGDYAGGAGAGCGUUGCAUGCCGGAGCGAAGGUUGAUGGAAACAACAGCUGGACCGCAUGCAAGUGAGAAUGCAGACAUGAGUAACGAAAAACCAGGUGAGAAUCCUGGUCACCGAAAUCCUAAGGUUUCCCGGGGAAGGUUCGUCCGCCCGGGGUUAGUCGGACCCUAAGGCGAGGCCAAACGGCGUAGUCGAUGGACAACAGGUUAAUAUUCCUGUACUAAUUAUAUCCAGUGAUGAAGGGACGCAGCAGGAAAGUGCAAAUGACUGAUGGAUUAGUCAUACCAAGGGCGCAGGUUGUAGAGUAGGCAAAUCCGCUCUACACAARACCGAGGCCUGAUGGGGGAUGAAAAUCUUCGGAUGGAAACCCUUUGCAUGGAACCACACUGCCAAGAAAAGCUUCUAAGCAUUAAAGAUAUAGUUAUCCGUACCCUAAACCGACACAGGUAGGAAGGUCGAGUAGACUAAGGUGCGCGAGAGAAACCACGUUAAGGAACUCGGCAAAUUAGCCCCGUAACUUCGGGAAAAGGGGUGCCCCUAAAGGGGAAUGUGACUAGCUCACAAACUCUAAGGGGGCCGCAGUGAAGAGGUCUGGGCGACUGUUUAGCAAAAACAUAGCACUCUGCAAACUCGAAAGAGGAAGUAUAGGGUGUGACACGUGACCAAUGCCAAAAGGUCAAAUGGAGAGGUYAGCUUCGGCGAAGCUUCAAAAUGAAGCCCUGGUGAAUGUCGGCCGUAACAAUAACGGUCCUAAGGUAGCGAAAUUCCUUGUCGGGUAAGUUCCGACCUGCACGAAUCGUGURACUGAUCCAGACACUGUCUCAACGUGGAUCUCGGUGAAAUUGUAGUUCCGGUGAAAAUGCCGGAUACCCGCAGAAGGACGGAAAGACCCCAUGAACCUUUACUGUAAUCUGAUAUUGUUGUUCGGGCUAAUAUGUGUAGCAUAAGUGGGAGACUGUGAAGUUGCGUCGUCAGGCGUCUCYGAGUCGUCAGUGAAAUACCACCCUUAUUAGUCUGGACAUCUAACCGUAUGUCCGUGAAUCCGGAUACGGGACAGUUUCAGAGGGUCAGUUUGACUGGGGCGGUUUCCUCCCAAAAUGUAACGGAGGAGCUCGAAGGUCUACUCAGCAUGGUCGGCAAUCAUGCGUAGAGCGUAAGGGUAGAAGUAGGCUUUACUGUAACACCGACAGGUGGAGCAGUUAGUCGAAAGCAGGACCUAGUGAUCCAGCGGUGGAAAGUGGUAUC